GACGAACGCUGGCGGCGUGCUUAAUACAUGCAAGUCGAACGGAAAGGCGCUGCGCUUGCUGGGCGCUCGAGUGGCGAGCGCGUGUGUAACACGCGAGUAACCCGCCCUUGACUUUGGGAUAACUCUAGGAAACUGGGGCUAAAACAGGAUAGGAGAUCUUGAUGCACGGGGUGGGUUGGAAAGUUACGGCGGUUGGGGAUGGACUCGCAGGUUAUCCGCUGGUUGGGGGGGUAGUUGCGUACCAAGGGUUUGACGGAUAGCCGGCAUGAGAGGUGGGCCGGGCACAAUGGUCCUAAGAGACGGACCAGAAUCGUACGGGAGGCAGCAGUGGGGAGUAUUACACAAUGGGCGGAAGCCUGAUGCAGCAACGCCGCGUGCGUGAUAACGGCCUUCUGGUUGUAAACCGCUUUCGCCGGUGACGAGGCGUGCGUGACGGUAAUGGGUAAAGAAGCACCGGCUAACUACGUG
rnacentral:rRNA from 1 species